AGAACAUUAAGUUAUGCUUAGACUGUAAUAUUUCAAACAUUAAAGGGGGCUAGAAGCCCAUGUUCUG
rnacentral:tRNA from 1 species